rnacentral:piRNA from 1 species
CCGUAGGAGACGGAGAAAGGCAGUAG